UGGAUUUUGUGAGCCCCAUAUGUGACAAU
rnacentral:piRNA from 1 species